AGAGUUUGAUCCUGGCUCAGGACGAACGCUGGCGGCGUGCCUAAUACAUGCAAGUCGAACGCUUCUUUUUCCACCGGAGCUUGCUCCACCGGAAAAAGAGGAGUGGCGAACGGGUGAGUAACACGUGGGUAACCUGCCCAUCAGAAGGGGAUAACACUUGGAAACAGGUGCUAAUACCGUAUAACAAUCAAAACCGCAUGGUUUUGAUUUGAAAGGCGCUUUCGGGUGUCGCUGAUGGAUGGACCCGCGGUGCAUUAGCUAGUUGGUGAGGUAACGGCUCACCAAGGCCACGAUGCAUAGCCGACCUGAGAGGGUGAUCGGCCACAUUGGGACUGAGACACGGCCCAAACUCCUACGGGAGGCAGCAGUAGGGAAUCUUCGGCAAUGGACGAAAGUCUGACCGAGCAACGCCGCGUGAGUGAAGAAGGUUUUCGGAUCGUAAAACUCUGUUGUUAGAGAAGAACAAGGAUGAGAGUAACUGUUCAUCCCUUGACGGUAUCUAACCAGAAAGCCACGGCUAACUACGUGCCAGCAGCCGCGGUAAUACGUAGGUGGCAAGCGUUGUCCGGAUUUAUUGGGCGUAAAGCGAGCGCAGGCGGUUUCUUAAGUCUGAUGUGAAAGCCCCCGGCUCAACCGGGGAGGGUCAUUGGAAACUGGGAGACUUGAGUGCAGAAGAGGAGAGUGGAAUUCCAUGUGUAGCGGUGAAAUGCGUAGAUAUAUGGAGGAACACCAGUGGCGAAGGCGGCUCUCUGGUCUGUAACUGACGCUGAGGCUCGAAAGCGUGGGGAGCAAACAGGAUUAGAUACCCUGGUAGUCCACGCCGUAAACGAUGAGUGCUAAGUGUUGGAGGGUUUCCGCCCUUCAGUGCUGCAGCUAACGCAUUAAGCACUCCGCCUGGGGAGUACGACCGCAAGGUUGAAACUCAAAGGAAUUGACGGGGGCCCGCACAAGCGGUGGAGCAUGUGGUUUAAUUCGAAGCAACGCGAAGAACCUUACCAGGUCUUGACAUCCUUUGACCACUCUAGAGAUAGAGCUUCCCCUUCGGGGGCAAAGUGACAGGUGGUGCAUGGUUGUCGUCAGCUCGUGUCGUGAGAUGUUGGGUUAAGUCCCGCAACGAGCGCAACCCUUAUUGUUAGUUGCCAUCAUUCAGUUGGGCACUCUAGCAAGACUGCCGGUGACAAACCGGAGGAAGGUGGGGAUGACGUCAAAUCAUCAUGCCCCUUAUGACCUGGGCUACACACGUGCUACAAUGGGAAGUACAACGAGU
rnacentral:rRNA from 5 species